UGGUCAUUUCUCCCCAAUUUCAGGUCACUUUACUGCUGGGACAUGUCCGAUUGUGUAGUAUUUGCUUUAGGAGCCUUUAUUGGGGAUUUUUUCC